CGAUGUGAGGGUGAUCUGGCUGCGACAUCUGUCACCCCAUUGAUCGCCAGGGUUGAUUCGGCUGAUCUGGCUGGCUAGGCAUGUGUCUCCUUCCUCCCUCACCACUCCAUGUGUGUCCCUCCCAAAGCUAUGUGCUAGGUCUAAGAGGACGGCCUUCCCUGAUUAGAGACGGAUGUGUCUUCUGGAGGGUAUACAAGUAGCUGCACUCCCCUGCUAGAACCUCCAAACAAGUUCUCAAGGAGGGUAAAUAGGCAAAGUAGUCAAAGGAAUCCAGCAAAAACUUUCUAACAUCACAUGAAUUUGUUUCAAAAUCGAAUCUUUAGUG
rnacentral:snRNA from 1 species